rnacentral:rRNA from 1 species
AAAUUGAAGAGUUUGAUCAUGGCUCAGAUUGAACGCUGGCGGCAGGCCUAACACAUGCAAGUCGAACGGUAACAGGAAGCAGCUUGCUUUGCUGACGAGUGGCGGACGGGUGAGUAAUGUCUGGGAAACUGCCUGAUGGAGGGGGAUAACUACUGGAAACGGUAGCUAAUACCGCAUAACGUCGCAAGACCAAAGAGGGGGACCUUCGGGCCUCUUGCCAUCGGAUGUGCCCAGAUGGGAUUAGCUAGUAGGUGGGGUAAAGGCUCACCUAGGCGACGAUCCCUAGCUGGUCUGAGAGGAUGACCAGCCACACUGGAACUGAGACACGGUCCAGACUCCUACGGGAGGCAGCAGUGGGGAAUAUUGCACAAUGGGCGCAAGCCUGAUGCAGCCAUGCCGCGUGUAUGAAGAAGGCCUUCGGGUUGUAAAGUACUUUCAGCGGGGAGGAAGGGAGUAAAGUUAAUACCUUUGCUCAUUGACGUUACCCGCAGAAGAAGCACCGGCUAACUCCGUGCCAGCAGCCGCGGUAAUACGGAGGGUGCAAGCGUUAAUCGGAAUUACUGGGCGUAAAGCGCACGCAGGCGGUUUGUUAAGUCAGAUGUGAAAUCCCCGGGCUCAACCUGGGAACUGCAUCUGAUACUGGCAAGCUUGAGUCUCGUAGAGGGGGGUAGAAUUCCAGGUGUAGCGGUGAAAUGCGUAGAGAUCUGGAGGAAUACCGGUGGCGAAGGCGGCCCCCUGGACGAAGACUGACGCUCAGGUGCGAAAGCGUGGGGAGCAAACAGGAUUAGAUACCCUGGUAGUCCACGCCGUAAACGAUGUCGACUUGGAGGUUGUGCCCUUGAGGCGUGGCUUCCGGAGCUAACGCGUUAAGUCGACCGCCUGGGGAGUACGGCCGCAAGGUUAAAACUCAAAUGAAUUGACGGGGGCCCGCACAAGCGGUGGAGCAUGUGGUUUAAUUCGAUGCAACGCGAAGAACCUUACCUGGUCUUGACAUCCACGGAAGUUUUCAGAGAUGAGAAUGUGCCUUCGGGAACCGUGAGACAGGUGCUGCAUGGCUGUCGUCAGCUCGUGUUGUGAAAUGUUGGGUUAAGUCCCGCAACGAGCGCAACCCUUAUCCUUUGUUGCCAGCGGUCCGGCCGGGAACUCAAAGGAGACUGCCAGUGAUAAACUGGAGGAAGGUGGGGAUGACGUCAAGUCAUCAUGGCCCUUACGACCAGGGCUACACACGUGCUACAAUGGCGCAUACAAAGAGAAGCGACCUCGCGAGAGCAAGCGGACCUCAUAAAGUGCGUCGUAGUCCGGAUUGGAGUCUGCAACUCGACUCCAUGAAGUCGGAAUCGCUAGUAAUCGUGGAUCAGAAUGCCACGGUGAAUACGUUCCCGGGCCUUGUACACACCGCCCGUCACACCAUGGGAGUGGGUUGCAAAAGAAGUAGGUAGCUUAACCUUCGGGAGGGCGCUUACCACUUUGUGAUUCAUGACUGGGGUGAAGUCGUAACAAGGUAACCGUAGGGGAACCUGCGGUUGGAUCACCUCCUUACCUUAAAGAAGC